rnacentral:rRNA from 1 species
AAUUCGAAGCAACGCGAGAACUUACCAGGCCUUGACAUGCAGAGAACUUCAGAGAUGGAUUGGUGCCUUCGGGAACUCUGACACAGGUGCUGCAUGGCUGUCGUCAGCUCGGUGUCGUGAGAUGUUGGGUUAAGUCCCGUUAACGAGCGCAACCCUUGUCCUUAGUUACCAGCACGUUAUGGUGGGCACUCUAAGGAGACUGCCGGUGACAAACCGGAGGAAGGUGGGGAUGACGUCAAGUCAUCAUGGCCCUUACGGCCUGGGCUACACACGUGCUACAAUGGUCGGUACAAAGGGUUGCCAAGCCGCGAGGUGGAGCUAAUCCCAUAAAACCGAUCGUAGUCCGGAUCGCAGUCUGCAACUCGACUGCGUGAAGUCGGAAUCGCUAGUAAUCGUGAAUCAGAAUGUCACGGUGAAUACGUUCCCGGGCCUU